AAAUUAAAGCGGUGCCUUUAUCGCCUCCCAACUAACCCACCAAAGAUAGCAGCUCACACACCCAGAGAAGGAGGAAGGAAAUGUCAGGUUUAUAUCAAAGAAGGACCUCUACUGAAAGUAUAAUUCGCUCCUCUGCACUCUCCACGCACUCAAAUCACUGUCUGGGAGGCGCUGAUAAGCUUCGAGGCAGACACAGGCGUUUGGGCGUCGAGUUAAGAGCAGCUAGCAGCGACCGACAGAUAGGAAGGUGGGGUUGAGGUGUAUCAGCAUCUGGCACACUGCAGGAAGACGGGCGAGGAGAGAGUACACGCCUGCGGGAGGA